rnacentral:rRNA from 1 species
CUUUAACACUGAGGCGUGACGACGAGGCACUACGGUGCUGAAGCAACAAAUGCCCUGCUUCCAGGAAAAGCCUCUAAGCAUCAGGUAACAUCAAAUCGUACCCCAAACCGACACAGGUGGUCAGGUAGAGAAUACCAAGGCGCUUGAGAGAACUCGGGUGAAGGAACUAGGCAAAAUGGUGCCGUAACUUCGGGAGAAGGCACGCUGACACGUAGGUGAAGUGAUUUACUCACGGAGCUGAAGUCAGUCGAA